AUACGGAGAGGGCGAGCGUUGUUCGGAUUUACUGGGCGUAAAGGGCAUGUAGGUGUCCCGAUAAGCUCUGGGUGAAAUCUCCGCGCUCAACGCGGAAACGAAUCAGAGAACUAUCGGGAUUGAGUUCAGGAGAAGAGAGUGGAAUUCUCAGUGUAGCGGCGAAAUGCGUAGAUAUUGAGAAGAACACCAGCGGCGAAGGCGGCUCUCUAUUCUGAAACUGACACUCAAAUGCGAAAGCGUGGGGAGCGAAUGGGAUUAGAAACCCCAGUAGUCC
rnacentral:rRNA from 1 species